CGCUGGCGGCGUGCUUAACACAUGCAAGUCGAACGAUGAAGCCCUUCGGGGUGGAUUAGUGGCGAACGGGUGAGUAACACGUGGGCAAUCUGCCCUUCACUCUGGGACAAGCCCUGGAAACGGGGUCUAAUACCGGAUACCACUCCUGCCUGCAUGGGCGGGGGUUGAAAGCUCCGGCGGUGAAGGAUGAGCCCGCGGCCUAUCAGCUUGUUGGUGGGGUAAUGGCCCACCAAGGCGACGACGGGUAGCCGGCCUGAGAGGGCGACCGGCCACACUGGGACUGAGACACGGCCCAGACUCCUACGGGAGGCAGCAGUGGGAAUAUUGCACAAUGGGCGAAAGCCUGAUGCAGCGACGCCGCGUGAGGGAUGACGGCCUUCGGGUUGUAAACCUCUUUCAGCAGGGAAGAAGCGAAAGUGACGGUACCUGCAGAAGAAGCGCCGGCU
rnacentral:rRNA from 1 species